UCAUUUUGUCCAGUGAAGAGUGAUGUUGCUGCACAAGAGAGAUCCUUGAAGCAGGAGCCAUCAGGUAAGCCCCGAAAGUUGUGGGAGGCUGCCCUUACUGCUCUAUAUUUGGCACUGGGCACCUGCACUAGAGCAGGCCAUUCCUGGGGUCUUGGUACUGGGCAAGCAAUUGCCUGAAUGGAAGUUGAGAACUGCACUCCACAUACAUCGCGACAUGUCCCCGAUCCAUUUGCAUCGAUACAUUUGCAGCCACAAUGGUAUCUGGGCUUGUCCAGUUCAUUGUUCACAACUGAUUGGAUGGAGAUGAUUAACAAGCAGAGGAAUACCGGGUAGAUGGUCAAAAUGAUGUUCUGCUUGAUGUUUCUUCUCUGCACCAAAAAGGCCACAGAUAUCAGGGUUACUGAGAGGAGAAAAAAGAUGUGAACAUUCAUAACAAGCCACCGCAGCAGUGUAGAAGAGGAUGACAGAGCAAUGGAAGUACAUGGCAACACAAGACAACAAAAACAUGGAGAAACAAGGAGGCAGAGCAUCAUGGAAUGUGCACCUGGUAGAUCAGGUUCUUCCUCAACAACGCAUCAGCUUGUGUAAGGAAAGAUGCAGUGCCGUAGGAAACCAUGGAGAGAGAGCACACAAGCCCACGCAUACAAGUGUUUUCACUGCAGCAUACAUCACCAGGAAACAGAUGCGUCCGUGGAGUGCGUGUGCAAAAUUCCAGUCUCUUUCUUUCUGAUCGAUAUGAGUUUUACUUCCUUCCUUUCAUGUCCAUGGAGAUAACAAUGAGAUGUCAUACAUGCACCAAGAUUUCCAUUGCGUCCCUACGUUUGGAGUGUUCAAAGCCUUCUCCUGGUCAACACAAGUGCAAUUGCCAUUAGAAUCUGAUCUGAGCUUAGCUCUCGUAAUGGUGAUGAGUGCAGCACCUGAUUGGCAAGAGACGUGGC